rnacentral:rRNA from 1 species
GUGUCAGCAGCCGCGGUAAUACAGAGGGUGCGAGCGUUAAUCGGAUUUACUGGGCGUAAAGGGCGUGUAGGCGGGAAUACAAGUCAGACGUGAAAGUCCUGGGCUUAACCGAGGGAUUGCGUUUGAAACUGUAUUUCUAGAGUGAAGUAGAGGGUAGUGGAAUUUCCGGUGUAGCGGUGAAAUGCGUAGAUAUCGGAAGGAACACCAGUGGCGAAGGCGGCUACCUGGACUUACACUGACGCUGAGGCGCGAAAGCGUGGGGAGCGAACAGGAUUAGAUACCCUGGUAGUCCACGCUGUAAACGAUGAGAACUAGCUGUUGGUGGGGUAAUACCCAUUGGUAGCGAAGCUAACGCGAUAAGUUCUCCGCCUGGGGAGUACGGCCGCAAGGUUGAA